GACUCUGUUCGAACAUCUUUUCUGCGAGCGCGCGAGCGCUUCGCGAAGGAUCGGGUUUUUUGAGAUGCGACAGUGGGGUACUCAAUCUACCGGGAUAAUUUUUAUGUUUAUGUCUCUAACUUUUGCCUGGAUCGCCCUUUCAGAUUUUCAAUCCACUGAGACACUCAUUUUUUCCUAAGCAUCCCUUUCGGGUUUUCAACUUAGAGAGUUAUUCUUUUCUUUCUAGGAGAAGUAUUUCUUGAUUGCAUCGGUGUUCACAGGACGAGUGAACUUUUC
rnacentral:lncRNA from 1 species